rnacentral:snRNA from 1 species
UUUGCCUACGGGGAAACGGCCUACGUAAAAACAAUAAGAGAUAAUUAGCAUGGCCCCUACACGAGGAUGACACGCGCAAAACCAGGGAGUUCAAUUCGCUUUU